rnacentral:rRNA from 1 species
CAAGACCUCGCGCCUGAAGAGGAGCCCGCGCCCGAUUAGCUAGUCGGCGGGGUAAGAGCCCACCAAGGCUUCGAUCGGUAGCCGGCCUGAGAGGGCGGUCGGCCACACUGGCACUGAGACACGGGCCAGACUCCUACGGGAGGCAGCAGUGGGGAAUUUUGGGCAAUGGGCGAAAGCCUGACCCAGCAACGCCGCGUGAAGGACGAAAUCCCUCUGGGAUGUAAACUUCGAAAGUCGGGAAAGAAAUCGCGCAGGAUAAUACCCUGCGUGGAUGACGGUACCCGACGUAAGCCCCGGCUAACUACGUGCCAGCAGCCGCGGUAAUACGUAGGGGGCAAGCGUUGUUCGGAAUUAUUGGGCGUAAAGGGCGCGUAGGCGGCACAGCAAGUCGGGAGUGAAAGCCCGGGGCUCAACCCCGGAACUGCUUUCGAAACUGCUGAGCUAGAGUACAGAAGGGGCAACCGGAAUUCCCAGUGUAGCGGUGAAAUGCGUAGAUAUUGGGAAGAACACCUGAGGCGAAGGCGGGUUGCUGGGCUGAUACUGACGCUGAGGCGCGAAAGCCAGGGGAGCAAACGGGAUUAGAUACCCCGGUAGUCCUGGCCCUAAACGAUGGAUACUUGGUGUGUGGGGUUCUCUGAGUCCCCGCGUGCCGGAGCUAACGCGGUAAGUAUCCCGCCUGGGGAGUACGGUCG